ACACCUGAGGCCUCAGGAGAGUUAGGUGACCCGAAUCCUCAUUGUGGAACAGGAUGGUUAGCCAGGAAAAAAGAAUGGCCAGAGGCAAUGAGGUCUGCACUCAUCUACGCCUUCACCAGUGGCUACCAUUUUAUGGAGAUACCAACCUCUUCAAUUCAUUCUGCUUGAGACUGCUCUGAGAACAAGGAAGGAAGAAGCAAUGACUACUCCUUUCAUCUUGGAAAAAGAAAGAUGAACCAUUUUUUAAAAUCUUCCUUGAAGAAAACUAAAGAAUCUUAUUGGUGGAGCUGCUGCAGUUGUCUUGCUACCGGAGGACCAAGCCAGCAUUGAGGAGAGAUGUAAAGAACCUGUAUCCUGACAUCACUGAGCACAGGAAUCAACCAAGCCUAAAUCCUGUCUUACUUCUGUAGAUGCUAUUAAUAAGAUACUGAAUUCCCUUAC